rnacentral:rRNA from 1 species
UACGGAGGAUCCGAGCGUUAUCCGGAUUUAUUGGGUUUAAAGGGAGCGUAGGUGGAUUGUUAAGUCAGUUGUGAAAGUUUGCGGCUCAACCGUAAAAUUGCAGUUGAAACUGGCAGUCUUGAGUACAGUAGAGGUGGGCGGAAUUCGUGGUGUAGCGGUGAGAUGCUUAGAUAUCACGAAGAACUCCGAUUGCGAAGGCAGCUCACUGGACUGCAACUGACACUGAGGCUCGAAAGUGUGGGUAUCAAACAGG